CCAACGGCCCUUUUUAAGGGCCACUAAAUAGGUUUAAACAAAACAGG
rfam:Xiphophorus maculatus strain JP 163 A Contig12380.1, whole genome shotgun sequence.